AAACUUUCAACAACGGAUCUCUUGGUUCUGGCAUCGAUGAAGAACGCAGCGAAAUGCGAUAAGUAAUGUGAAUUGCAGAAUUCAGUGAAUCAUCGAAUCUUUGAACGCACAUUGCGCCCGCCAGUAUUCUGGCGGGCAUCCCUGUUCGAGCGUCAUUA
rnacentral:rRNA from 1 species